UACGUAGGGUGCAAGCGUUGUCCGGAAUUAUUGGGCGUAAAGAGCUCGUAGGCGGUCUGUUGCGUCGGCUGUGAAAACCCGGGGCUCAACCCCGGGCCUGCAGCCGAUACGGGCAGACUAGAGUUCGGCAGGGGAGACUGGAAUUCCUGGUGUAGCGGUGAAAUGCGCAGAUAUCAGGAGGAACACCGGUGGCGAAGGCAGGUCUCUGGGCCGAUACUGACGCUGAGGAGCGAAAGCGUGGGGAGCGAACAGG
rnacentral:rRNA from 1 species